rnacentral:rRNA from 1 species
AUUGAACGCUGGCGGCAGGCCUAACACAUGCAAGUCGAGCGGUAGAGAGAAGCUUGCUUCUCUUGAGAGCGGCGGACGGGUGAGUAAUACCUAGGAAUCUGCCUGAUAGUGGGGAUAAAACGUUCGGAAAACGGACGCUAAUACCGCAUACGUCCUACGGGAGAAAGCAGGGGACCUUCGGGCCUUGCGCUAUCAGAUGAGCCUAGGUCGGAUUAGCUAGUUGGUGAGGUAAUGGCUCACCAAGGCUACGAUCCGUAACUGGUCUGAGAGGAUGAUCAGUCACACUGGAACUGAGACACGGUCCAGACUCCUACGGGAGGCAGCAGUGGGGAAUAUUGGACAAUGGGCGAAAGCCUGAUCCAGCCAUGCCGCGUGUGUGAAGAAGGUCUUCGGAUUGUAAAGCACUUUAAGUUGGGAGGAAGGGCAGUUACCUAAUACGUGAUUGUCUUGACGUUACCGACAGAAUAAGCACCGGCUAACUCUGUGCCAGCAGCCGCGGUAA